AUUGAACGCUGGCGGCAUGCCUUACACAUGCAAGUCGAACGGUAACAGGUCUUCGGAUGCUGACGAGUGGCGAACGGGUGAGUAAUACAUCGGAACGUGCCUAGUAGUGGGGGAUAACUACUCGAAAGAGUGGCUAAUACCGCAUGAGAUCUACGGAUGAAAGCAGGGGAUCGCAAGACCUUGUGCUACUAGAGCGGCCGAUGGCAGAUUAGGUAGUUGGUGGGAUAAAAGCUUACCAAGCCGACGAUCUGUCGCUGGUCUGAGAGGACGAUCAGCCACACUGGGACUGAGACACGGCCCAGACUCCUACGGGAGGCAGCAGUGGGGAAUUUUGGAAAAUGGGCGCAAGCCUGAUCCAGCAAUGCCGCGUGCAGGAUGAAGGCCUUCGGGUUGUAAACUGCUUUUGUACGGAACGAAAAGCCCUGGGUUAAUACCCUGGGGUCAUGACGGUACCGUAAGAAUAAGCACCGGCUAACUACGUGCCAGCAGCCGCCGUAA
rnacentral:rRNA from 1 species